rnacentral:rRNA from 1 species
UACCGCAUAACAUCUUUUGGCCUUCGGGCUGGGAGAUCAAAACCGCAAGGUGUCAGAGGAGGAGCCCGCGCCCGAUUAGCUUGUUGGCGGGGUAACGGCCCACCAAGGCUUUGAUCGGUAGCCGGUCUGAGAGGACGACCGGCCACACUGGAACUGAGACACGGUCCAGACUCCUACGGGAGGCAGCAGUGGGGAAUAUUGCGCAAUGGGCGAAAGCCUGACGCAGCGACGCCGCGUGGGGGAUGAAGCUUCUCGGAGUGUAAACCCCUUUCGACCCGGACGAAAAAUCCCGCAAGGGAUCUGACGGUACGGGUWUAAGAAGCCCCGGCUAACUACGUGCCAGCAGCCCGCGGUAAGACGUAGGGGGCCAGCGUUGCUCGGAAUAACUGGGCGUAAAGGGUUCGUAUGCGGUGUGGCAAGUCGGGAGUGAAAAUCCUGAGGCUUAACUUCAGGACUGCCUUCCGAAACUGCCAUGCUCGAGUGCGGGAGAAGGCUA